rnacentral:rRNA from 1 species
UGCAGUCGAGCGCGGGAAGCGAGUGGAUCCCUUCGGGGUGAAGCUCGUGGAACGAGCGGCGGACGGGUGAGUAACACGUGGGCAACCUGCCUGUAAGAUCGGAAUAACCCCGGGAAACCGGGGCUAAUGCCGGGUAAUACUUUCUUUCGCAUGAAGGAAAGUUGAAAGAUGGCUUCUUGCUAUCACUUACAGAUGGGCCCGCGGCGCAUUAGCUAGUUGGUGAGGUAACGGCUCACCAAGGCGACGAUGCGUAGCCGACCUGAGAGGGUGAUCGGCCACACUGGGACUGAGACACGGCCCAGACUCCUACGGGAGGCAGCAGUAGGGAAUCUUCCGCAAUGGACGAAAGUCUGACGGAGCAACGCCGCGUGAACGAUGAAGGUCUUCGGAUCGUAAAGUUCUGUUGUUAGGGAAGAACAAGUACCGUGCGAAUAGAGCGGUACCUUGACGGUACCUAACGAGGAAGCCCCGGCUAACUACGUGCCAGCAGCCGCGGUAAUACGUAGGGGGCAAGCGUUGUCCGGAAUUAUUGGGCGUAAAGCGCGCGCAGGCGGUUCCUUAAGUCUGAUGUGAAAGCCCACGGCUCAACCGUGGAGGGUCAUUGGAAACUGGGGAACUUGAGGACAGAAGAGGAGAGUGGAAUUCCACGUGUAGCGGUGAAAUGCGUAGAUAUGUGGAGGAACACCAGUGGCGAAGGCGACUCUCUGGUCUGUUUCUG